rnacentral:rRNA from 1 species
AUGGAAGAAGAAAUUGAUGAAACUAUGAGCUCAUUGGAUGAAAAAGAUGAGGAGGAGAGCAAAGAACAAAUGGAGGAAGAGCGGAUUAGCUACCCGUACCCACCUUCUAAUGAGAGUAACCCUCCAACUCAUACAUUGUUUAAUUUCCCUUCGUGCUUACCGAAGGAUGAUUGCUAUGAUGAUUGUUAUGAUCCCGUUGAUUCUCUUGAAAUAUGCCUUUUUGAUGAUGCUUGCUAUGCUUGUGGCCAAGAUGCCAAUAUGAAUUAUGCUUAUGGAGAUGAACUUUCUAUAGUUCCUUAUGUUAAACAUGAAAUUGUUGCUAUUGCACCCACACAUGAUAGUCCUAUUAUCUUUUUGAAUUCUCCCGACUACACUAUAUCGGAGAAGUUUGCACUUAUCAAGGAUUAUAUUGAUGGGUUGACUUUUACCAUUGCACAUGAUGAUUUUGAUAGAUAUAAUAUGCAUGUGCUUGCUGCUCCUACUUGCAAUUAUUAUGAGAGAGGAACUAUAUCUCCACCUCUCUAUGUUUCCAAUAUGAUAAAAUUACUAUGUGUGCAUGAAUUAUUCUUUUAUGACAUGCCGAUGCAUAGGAAGAGAGUUAGAAUUUGUCAUUACAUGAUAUAUGUUACUUUGUGCUCACUACUAAAUUACAAAUCAUUGCUAAUUAAAAUUGGCUUUGAUAUACCUUGGGAUCCGGGUGGAUUCACUACUUGA